UGGGGAAUUUUGGACAAUGGGCGCAAGCCUGAUCCAGCCAUGCCGCGUGAGUGAAGAAGGCCUGGUUGUAAGNUCUUCGGCCGGGAAGAAAUCGUGGUCUCUAACAUAGGCCAUGGAUGACGGUACCGGACUAAGAAGCACCGGCUAACUACGUGCC
rnacentral:rRNA from 1 species